rnacentral:lncRNA from 1 species
AGGUCAAAAGAUCAUCCUCUCCACACGUGAGCAGACAUGAACCACCAGGCUGCUCCGCCUGCCCUAUCUAAGCUCUUCCCUGUUCCCACCCAGUGACGCAGACCUGGAUAACGCCCCAAAGAGGGGCUGAACCCCACCACAUGGCUCCUGGUGUGGCUCAGUGGCAAGAAUCACCCUUUCUUUGGGAGAUGACAUAUACUGUCUUCAAAGUCUUACUCAGAGACCUCUCAGGGAGGAUCAGCCCUUGAUCCUUCCCACAGCCCAACCUCAGGGACACCUGUUUCCAUGGCCUCUCUUCAUCCACCUCAUUCAUAUCCUCAGCUCCAGCCCACUGACUUUGCCCCUACCCCCCAAACAGGGGCAAAGCCCACAGCAGGCCAAGGAGGUUGUGGUAGCCAGAACAAUGCCCCCUUGAAAGUAUCCAUGUCCUAGUCCCCCAAUUUUGUGAAUGUGUUGCCUUCCAUGGCAAAUGGGACUUCACAGAUGUGAUGAAGUUAAGGCUGUUGAGAUGGGGAGGUGAUCCUGUAUUAACUGGGAGAGAGAUUAGAAGAUACUCUGAUGCUGGCUUUGGAGAUGGAGAAAGAGACCAUAAGCCAAGAGAUGUAGGUGACAUUUAUAAACUGGAAAAGACAGAGGAAGUUAUUCUCCCCUAAAGCAUCCAGAAGGAAUAUAACCCCCCACCACCACCUUGAUUUUAGCCCAAUGGGACCCGUUUGGACAUCUGACUUCCAGAACUCUAAGAUAAUACAUUUGCAUUGUUUUAGGCUCUAAGUUUGUGGCAAUCUGUGACAGCAGCCAUAGGAAACUCACACAGCAGUCCCUGCUCUACCCACUCAGUAGCCCAGUGCUGUCUCCCCACUGACUCUGCAGCCUUCUCCCUGCUCUCAGAUGACCUGGCCUCAAAUCCCAGUCUACUUACCUACUAGGUGCUCUUGGGCACUCACGCCAUCACUUUGAGCCUUGGUUCUCUCAUCUGCAAAACACAGCUCACAGACUGGCCGCACAGGCCUGCAGCAAGGGUUAAAUGAAAUUAUGCUUGUGAAGUCUCUUAGCAACCGUGCUUGGAACAAAAUUGGUGCUUGCUGAUAUUUUUAGUUGUUGAGCAUAAUUCUGUAGCUUUCAUUUGUGCUGCUAGAGCCACCUCCUGCUCUAGCCCUAGCUGCUAGCGCCCUAGCCCUCCCUGAGGAGUCAGGCCCUUCUUGCAAUGCUCGGACCAGCAGGGACUCUCAGGGAACAGACCCCUUCCCACAGUCCCUGGGGUGGAGGUGAGGGGCAGCAGAGCCUUGAGCAUUGCCCUCACAGCAAGGACACUCCACCUAGGUUCAAAUCCUUUCCCUGCCCCUUCUCAGCUAUGUGAUGUUGGGAGAGCUACUCCAUCAUGCCAAACCUCAGUUAUCUCCGUUGUAAAAAACCUCCAAGUAGGCUGUUUUGGUGUGAGGUUAAGGCUGUUGAGAUGGGGAGGUAAUCCUGCAUUAACUGGGGAUCAGGGUAUUGGUGUGAGCAUUGAGUGUAUUCUUGGCUGGGCGUGUAGCAAAUGCUUGAUAAACAGCAUCAACCAGUGGUCUCCCCAAACUAAGGAGGCAUGUCCCUCUCAAGUUGUGGCCCCUCUUUAAGAAAGAGCAGUCCUCCUGGAAUUAAUAAGCAAUAUAGCAGAUUGCAGGACACGAGGUUAAUGUAUAAAGGCCAAUUGCUUUCCUAUAUAGCAACAAUAAUCAAGUAAAAUUUGAAGUUAAAAACACAUUUUACAUCAGUACACCCCUAAAUGAAACACUUAGGUGUAAAUCUCACAAAAUAGGUUCAGGAUCUAUAUGAGGAAAACAACAAAGCUCUGAUGAAAUAAAAAAGCUAAAUAAAUGUUCAUGGAUAGGAACUUUCAAUGUUGUAAAAAUGUCUGUUCUUCCCAACUUGAUCUGUAGAUUUAGUGCAACCCCAUCAAAAUCCCAGCAAGUUAUUUUGCAGAUAUUGGCAAAUUGACUCUGAAAUUAAUAUAAAGAGACGAAGGACCCAGAAUAACCAAGACAAUAUUGAAGGAAAAAAAAAAAAAGUUGGAUGAUUGACACUACCCAACUUUAAGACUUGCUAUAAAGGUACAAAGUAAUCAAGACACUGUGGUAUUGGCAAAAGAAUAGACAGACAGAUCAAUGGAACAGAAUAGAGAGCCCAGAAAUAGACCCACGUAAAUACAGUCAACGGAUCCUUGAAAAAGGAGCAAAGGCAAAAACAAUGGGGCAGAUACAGUCUUCUCACCAAAUGGUUCUGGAAAUUGGACAUCCAUAUACCAAAAAGUGAAUCUAGACAUAGACCUUACACCCUUCACAAAAAUUAACUCAAAAUGGGUCAUAGGCCUAAAUGUAAAACACAAAGCUAUAAAACUCUUAGAAGAUAAUAGAGGAGAAAACUUGGUUGACCUUGAGCGUGGUGAUACUGCUUUAGAUACAACAUCAAAGACAUGACCAUCAAAGACAUAACUGAUAACCUGGACUUCACUAAAAUGUCUCCUCUGCAAAAGACAGUAUUAGGAGAGUUAGAAGACAAGCCACGGAUGAAGAGAAAAUAUUUGCAGAGCGCACAUCUGAUAAAGGGCUGUUAUCCCGAAUAUACAAAGAACUCUCAAAACUCAACUGUAAGAAAACACACAACUGGAUGAAAAGAUGGUCCAAAGAUCUUAACAGACCCCUCAGCAAAGAAGAUCUGCAGAUGACAAAUAAGCAUCUGAAAAGAUGCUCUACAUUCUAAGUCAUCAGGAAAAUGCAAAUGAAAACAACAGGGAGAGACCACUGCACACCAAGUAGAAUGGCCACAAUUCAAACACAGACAACACCAAGCCCUCGAGGGGAUGUGGAAUAACAGGACCUCUCAGAUGUUGCCCGUGGGAAUGCGAAACAGUACAGCCACUUGGGAAGACAGUCUGACAAUUUCCUACAAAACUAAACCCACUCUUACCAUACAAUCCAAAAGAGUUGAAAAUUUAUGUCCGCCAAAAAAUCUGCACACAAAGGUCUGUAGCAGCUUUAUUCAGAAUGACCAAAACUUGGGGGCAACCAAGAUGUCCUUCAGUAGGGGAAUGAGUAAAUAAACUGUGCCACAUCCAGAUAAUGGAAUAUUGUUCAUCCCUAAAGAGAACGGAGCUAUCGAGCCAUGCAAAGACUUGCGCCUUAAAUGCACAUGACUCAGUGAAAGAAGCCAACCUGAAAGAGCUGCAUGCUGUGUGAUUCCAAAGAUACGAGGUUCUGGAAAAGGCAGAACCAGGGAGACAAUAAAAAGUGGUUGCCAGGGGUUGAGGGAAGGAGGUGGCGAACAGGUGAAGCACAGAGACUCUUUAGGACAGUGAAAGUACCGUGCAGGAUAUUAUAACGACAAAUACAUGUCGCCAUUCGUCUGUCCAGAGCCAUACGGUGUACGACACCAAGAGUGCACCCGAACGUAAACUGUGGACUUUGGGGGAUUAUGAUGGGUCCAUGUAGAUUUAUCCUUACUCACAAAUGUACCCCUUUGGUGAGUGGUGUGAAUGGGGUGGGGGGGCUACCCCUGUGGCAAGGCAGUGGGUAUGUGGGAAGUCUCUACACCUCCCCCCCAAUGUCACUGUAAACCCAAAACUGCUCUAGAAAAAUAAAGUCUUUUUAAAAAGAGAGAAAAGAAAGAGCAAACUUUUACAAGUAUGAAAUAGAGUCUCGGAUGGGGCUUGUACCCGAGCAGAGCUCUGAAGCAUAAACUCCAUUAGCUUCUGCUUUCUGCUCUCAACCUCUUCUCGCCCGUGGUGCCUGCGCCAGACAGCUUCCAGAAAAGUCCCUCCAAACAGCCUGAGUAAUCAUCAGGGGCCGUGACUCCCUCGGUCUCCCAGCAGUGUCCAAGCUCCCUGGGUAAGCGAACAAGAGCUCAGAUGAAGCAAUGCAAACUGUCUCUCGGAUGAGCCCAGCUCCUUGGGACAGAGGGGACAGCUCAUCUCCUCCUUGCUCUGACAGUAGGGCUUUGAAUGUGGCAAAUACAAAUAAUGGCCAGCCGAUUAAAUUUGAAUUGCAGGUAGACAAUGAAUCAUUUUUCAGUACAAGUAGGGGACACUUUGCCUGGGCCAUUUAGCCGGGUGUCCUUUGUGUUUUCCGGCAGCCCUGCCUCCCAGGGACCGAGCAAAGUCAGGUUCGGUGCCACAGGAAACUAAACUGAUUUUAGCAGUGGGGCUCCUGACUCUUCUUUCCUAGACAGGGAUGUGGUUCUUCAAAGGAUGGGUGUCAUUCAGGAACGUGCCUCAUCUGGAAAGUGGGGGAUACAGGGCAGGUGACCCAGAGCCAGCCCACUAGGGCCUGAAUGACUGACCCUGAUUGUGAGGCUCUCAAUUCUCUCUGAUCCUCUGUUUCUCCACCUGUGUAAUGACGGUUCCUGUGCUCUUGGGUGGUGUGAGCAUCAAGUAGGAAAACGUGGAGUUCCUGUCGUGGCUCAGUGGUUAGCGAAUCCGACUAGAAACAUUGAGGCUGCGGGUUCAAUCCCUGGCCUCGCUCAGUGGGUUAAGGAUCCGGCAUUGCCAUGAGCUGUGGUGUAGGUCGCAGAUGCGGCUUGGAUCCUGCGUUGCUGUGGCUGUGGCAUAGGCCAGUGGCUACAGCUCCAAUUCAACCCCUAGCCUGGGAACCUCCAUAUGCCACGGGAGCAGCCCCAGAAAUGGCAAAAA